AGAGAGACUGUGAGCAGGUGACCAGGCUUGCUGGGUCUUCGGUGGAGGCCAUUCCCUUAAGGGGCGGAACUCCAACCGAAGCAAAAAGGACUGUGGUCUGACACCGGUUGGGUCCCCAGCCAGAGGACUCUAACAGCGGGAAGAUGAAAGAGACUCCACCUGGACAGAUGCCCCCCAUCCCGGGGCCUGAGCCUCACAGACUCUGGGAGGCCUGAGAUCUGUGUGUCAAUCAGUGUGCCAAGUUCAAGGCUGUAUGCGGAUGGAGCCAGCACCAAGCAGCUUGUGUUGGCAGAAGCAGAACAAACUGGCUCAGACAAAUCGACUUAUCACAAAAUGGUUCAAGCUCUCAUCGGCAGUGACAGAACAUACAUUAAGGAUCAGAGCAUAGACUCAGUGGCCGGAUGGAGUAGGUUCAAAUCCUGGCUCCACCUCUCAGUGACUCGCAAGUUUCUUAUACUCUCUGGGCCUCAGUUUCUCCACAGGUUCCAAUGAGGACACCGAUAACAGCCCCACCUGAGGGGUGAUUGUCAGACUUGAUCAAUGUAAAGCCCCUGGACUUGACCAUGCUGACAUAUCACAAGUGCGAGAUGAGUGUCUGCUAUUAUUACAAUAACCCAAAUCAAAACAGGCACAAAUGAGCUCAGAAUAAUCGAAGAGAUGUAAAUAUGCUAAUGGACAGGAGGGCAGGGGGCAGGGCACAACCAUGAAAGGAAUGACACAGCAAUUGAAGAUUCAACUCCGGGGAGACCUUGAGGCCCAAGAUGGCGGGAGAUUUGACUCCCAGUAGACCUUGAGCUUCACUGAAAGCUCACUGUAAUACAUUGGCAUGAGAAAUGACACUCCACAGGCACCGUGACCGGUCUGAGGCUGGCCAUAAAAGGUCAAAAAGUGGGCAGUGGCCCAAUUCUUGGGCGUCCCUGCCCCUUCCCCAAAGUAGUUAGACUGAUCCUCCCACUUGUUAGCAUAUGAAGUUUCUAAGCCCAUGAAAACUAGCAACACUGCACCUUGUGGUCGCUCUCUCUUGCCUUCUGAGACGACCGGCAUGCUAUGGAGUGUGCAUCUCUCUGAAU
rnacentral:lncRNA from 1 species